GUCCUUGCCGUAAACGAUGUAUACUUGAUGUAGCCGGGCUCAACCCUGGCUGUGUCGUAGCUAACGCGAUAAGUAUACCGCCUGGGGAGUACGCUCGCAAGGGUGAAACUCAAAAGAAUUGACGGGGGCCCGCACAAGCAGUGGAGCAUGUGGUUUAAUUCGAUGCAACGCGAAGAACCUUACCCAGGCUCGAAAUGCAAUGGGCGAAUACAGAAAUGUAUUCUUCCGCAAGGACUAUUGUAUAGGUGCUGCAUGGCUGUCGU
rnacentral:rRNA from 1 species